CUGAGCUGUUCUGCUGGCAUCUUGCAGUUUUCUGGAUUUCUCCGCUUUUUCUCGCUCUAUGGCCUGCAGCAUGAUAGCAAACCUCACUGCAAAAUAUGCAUCAUUUUAUUAUACAAGGUGUGUAGAAGAUAAAAAACAAAUUUUGUCUCAUCAAUCAAAAACUUCUCAAGAAAGGAUAUAUGCACGUAUAGAGGCUUACACAUGACUAGAACUUCUCCCAAACAGGUUACAAGUAUUAAUUUUAUUAUUUCUGAUGAAAAGAACAGCUAUUUUGAAGAAAAAGAGACAUUAUGGUAGCUGCUGCUGAUUUCCUAUCAUCAUGCUGUGAAAUCAACUAACACUUUUAUUCUUUGUUUAGUGAUUUUAGUCUAUUUUUUAUUAUUUAAUUUCAACAUAUAUGAAGGUAUGGGCAGAGAUUUUGAAGAACAAGAGACAUUACAGUAGGCAUUGUUGAUUUUCCUAUUGUCUGGUUUUGAAGUGUCUGUAGUGCUUUUAUUUUUCUCUUUUGAUCAGUUUUAUACUAUUUUGUUUUGUAUGAAUUCAUUGUGUGUGAAGAUAUAGACAACUAUUUAGAAGAAAACGAGACAUUGUGAUAGCCUGUUGAUCUCCUGUUGUCUUGUUUUGAAAUCUGUGUCACUUACAUUGUUUUUUUCUGAUAUGCUUUGUUCUGUUUUGUUUUACCUUCUUUGAAAUAAUUCAAAAGAUAAAUAAAAACAAAAAUAGUUUAAUAUAUAUUCUAAUUUGUAUCAUUUAUAAUUAGUAUCCUUAUAUCAUUCAAAAGAAAGUUUUGUACUAAUAUCUGUUUCUUGUUUGUAAAAGAACAUCUUUCUUUGAAGAUAACGACACACAACUCUUUUUUUUUGGUACCAGGGAUCGAACUCACGACCUCAUACUUCCAAGGUAGGCCCUUACAUUGCUGAGUACACUGCUGAGCUAAGUCUCUGGCCCAACAAUAUACAACAUAUUAACUAUUGUUAUGUUUUUAACAUUUUGUUAUUAAAUUUUCUUUUACUUUCUCACAUAAAAUAAACAAUUUUCAUUUUGCCAGGCCCAGUACAUUUUAUAGCAAUCAAUCCUGAUAACUAGAUCUACCUCUGUGAAGUCACCUUGUUUAUAAAAACAUGUCUUCCUUUGAUAUUACUUUGCUCUGAUCACUUUCCUGAGGGAAACAGCACAGCUAUGUGUAUGUUUUUGUCUGUUUUUCUGUGUGUUUAUUAUACGUAUGUCUGUGUAUAUAUACAUAUGCACAUAAAAUAACUAUUCAGAUUUUAGUUUUAAAAUAACUCAUAUA